rnacentral:lncRNA from 1 species
UGGGUUGUAUUUAAAAAGGAAAAAGACCAAAAUAAUAAAGCCUAAUAACAAAGCACGGGCCAAUAUUCAAAAACAAAGACUAAAGGCCUACCAAAAUUCAAAGAAAAAGAAACAGUAAACUAAACGGUAAUAAAACAGCAACCCAGCCAUAUGAGUUGUCUUCUUCUAGAUUCUGUAGAAAAUAUAUGCAUCCCAAACGACCAGCUCUUAGAGAAGACAAACAGACAGAGAAAUCGAUUCAAUAUCUUCUUAUACAGCCCAAUAUUUGCCCAGCCCAAAACCCAAUUAAACCUAAAUCCGGAACCCAAUUCCAAACCCACCUAAACCUAGCCCAAACCAGAAGCCCAGUACCCAAUUGGCCCAAUCCUAUAACAAAAGUCAAGCUAGGGUUUCAGAAAAGAAACCCUAGCGCCGCCUCUAGGGUCUUUGACCCUUAGCCUUCUGACGCCGCCGGACGUCCCAUUCGCGCCUACCCACGGUCACGUCGACCAUGCCACUUGCGCCGCCGGUCACCUGCAAAAAGACAACACACAAACAACAGUAACCAAAAAAAAGAAAAAUAAUAGCAAAUAAUAUGUAAUUUUAGGCUAUAAAAAGCCAAAGAUUAUCAUUGUAAGGGGUUCGGCUUCCCCUUUUCUACAAACAUUUUUAGAAAUAAAAAAAGGCAAACUAAACCAUUGAAGGUGAUUUUCGCCUUUUAUUUCUCUGUUUUUCUUUCACUUUUCAUAAAUUUUUUUAUUUCGAUUUAUUUCACUUAAAAAAAAGGGGGUCGAAAAUGAGGUACCUUUUACUGGAGGCGCGCCAUCGUCGGUGAUUCCCUCUGUGCGCCGAAUUCGCGGCGAGGCUACGGUGAAGCCUUCGCGCAAGUUCACCAGCGUCAUGGCCGGAUUCAAAAGGGGGAGGGGAUAUCGGGUUUUUAAGAAAUAGAGAAAAGAAAGAAAACUUUUUGAAUUUUUU